CUGUUAUGGGGGUCUUGAUAAAAGCUUAUUACAGUAUACAACGAAUGUAAUUUAAAGUCAUUAUACUUUUUUUAUAUAUAUAUUUAUUGAAGUUUCUUGCAGUCGUAUUAAGAGCACACAAUCAAUGCAAAUAUUAACCGAGCAGGGUAUAUGUAUUGAGGGGUUGAAGACCAGCCUGGCGACCUAGGCUACAGUAAAUAAUAACUCAUAAUUCAAAUUCAUUUGUAGAUGUAUCAGGUCAUGUCAAAUCAAGUUUGAUUUCAAUUCCAGUUCCGCUUCUCCCCGAAUUGUGGUUCUCUUAUUUUCCACAACACCACCAAUUUGUCCCUUCUUUAAACUCAUCAUCGGGUGGUGUUAUCAGUUCUGCUUCUCCCCAAGUUGCAGUUCUCUCAUUUCCCACAACACCACCCAUUAGUCCCUUCUUUAAACUCAUCAUCGGGUGGUACUCACUAUGUUGCUCAUCAUUCUGUGAAUGGAUGUCUCGGUCGACUGUCACCCGACCCUCACAGACUGUACACGUAACUGAGCAGAACCGAAGCAAGGAUAAGCAGGGGCACGGCCCCCAUGGAAGUGCUGAAGAGGGGAUCGACGAGAAGGAGGGAAUGAGGAAGAGGAAGGAGGCAACGAGGGGAAGGGCGGAGCUGGAAAAGGCCCAGCAGGGACGUGUAGAAACUGAGGAAGGGUCGAGUUCAGCAAGAGUGUCUUCGACAUCACAUCCUCAGCAAAAUAGGAGACGGAUGAAGACGGGGAGAAGAAACCUUUCUGGAGAAGCAUGGGAAACAGCACUUUGCUCAAAGCGGAGAGUACCCUGGAGUGCUGAUCCGGUUUGUUUAAGUGAAGUAGGGUCUGCCUAACACCAUUGGCCCACAGUUAUACAGCGAGCUGAACUGUCUAAAAAGCUGACAUAUUAUACCAACAGUUGUGAGUGGGAUUAGACGUUAACGUUUUGAAAAUCUGCCUCUUCUGACAUCCCCAGUGGGCGUGUCCACUGGAUUUUCCUUUUUUUUCUAAGGGAUAUCUUUUAUGGGCUUUUUUCUGGGCAGGAUGUCUAGUACAGCCAUCUAGUAUAGGACAGCCGAUCAGAAUUUAACCCAGAUGUGUGAAGGUCAACCCCCUGAGGCUGCCCUCCGCUGCUUUGACUCUCAAGGUUGGACCGAAGGUCUUGGAUGAGCUCUUAUUGUAGUCCACACUAUCAGAUUUAGGAUUAAUCUCUAAAGUCUGAUGGCGAGCUCAAAUCACGGUGAACGGGGCGUGUCACUGUGUUUUGCCCAUAUAUUUGUUUCGACCAAUCAUGUUGCUGGAAGCGGGAAUCUGUAAGGGCAGAAUUGGUGAACACGACCUUGGCCAUCAGUAUUAAACUGUAAAAAAAGUAUCUCUAAAGGUUUGAAAUCAACACAGUUUAGACUGGCUCCUGUAGAAAUUAUUAAAAGCCCUUCUGAAAGCUGAAUCCAAUCGUGCAAAUGAGUUUUCUUUACUUGUUUUUUAGCUAGGUUAUCUUUGGUUGUUUGCUUCUUUUUUUUACAUGAUUCACAAAACAGGAAGUCGGCAUAGCCCCGCCACUUCCAGUUUCCUGUUUCCGGACCUGGCUCUGUUCCCCUUUCCGCCCUGAGGCUCUGCUAUAACUGGGCAGGAACUGCUGGAUCACAGAUUACCCCAUUGCUUUUGUUCGUGCAUUUUCACUUUCACUUGAGAAUUAUUGUGAUUGUUGAUGCGUUUAGUGUGUGUGCUUGUUUGUGGCUGUUUGUGUGUGUGUGUGUGUGUGUGUGUGUG
ensembl:lncRNA